GUGCUUGCUUUGGCAGCACAUAUACUAAUAUCGGAAUAAUCAUUAGCAUGGCCCCUGGUCAAGGAUGCCAUACAAAUUCAUGAAGAACAUAAGCAAAGA
rnacentral:snRNA from 1 species